GAUGAAGAACGCAGUGAAAUGCGAUAAGUAAUGUGAAUUGCAGAAUUCAGUGAAUCAUCGAAUCUUUGAACGCACAUUGCGCCCCCUGGUAUUCCGGGGGGCAUGCCUGUUCGAGCGUCAUUACAACCCUCAAGCUCUGCUUGGUAUUGGGCCCCGCCAGUUCUGGCGGGCCCUAAAGUCAGUGGCGGUGCCUUCCGGCUCCGAGCGUAGUAAUUCUUCUCGCUCUGGAGACCCGGUUGUGUGCUUGCCAACAACCCCCAAUUUUUUAAGGUUGACCUCGGAUCAGGUAGGGAUACCAGCUGAACUUAAGCAUAUCAAUAAGCGGAGGA
rnacentral:misc_RNA from 1 species